rnacentral:rRNA from 1 species
AUACGUAGGUGACAAGCGUUAUCCGGAUUUACUGGGCGUAAAGGGCGUGUAGGCGGUCUUGCAAGUCAGAAGUGAAAUUCCUGAGCUCAACUCGGGCGCUGCUUCUGAAACUGCAGGACUUGAGUGCUGGAGGGGAUAGCGGAAUUCCUAGUGGAGCGGUAAAAUGCGCAGAUAUUAGGAAGAACACCGGUGGCGAAGGCGGGUAACUGGACUGCAACUGACGCUGAGGCGCGAAAGUGUGGGGAGCAAACAGGAUUAGAUACCCUGGUAGUCCACACUGUAAACGAUGAAUGCUAGGUGUAAGAGGUAUCGACCCCUUUUGUGCCGGAGUCAACACAAUAAGCAUUCCGCCUGGGGAGUACGGCCGCAAGGUUGAAACUCAAAGGAAUUGACGGGG